AGUGAGUUGGAAAUAUCACAACAACGGGUCGGAAGCUGUGAUGAGCAGAAAUAGCAGGAACCUACUCAGGAAGCAAGAAGUCAGGUGUGGCCAGGGGAAACAAAGAUACAGCUUAUGUUUAAGACGUCCAUCUCUGGGGCCCAGAUUUGAAGGAUUAGUUCAUCCAAAAAUGUACAUCCUGACAUGAUUUGCUCACCCUUGUGUUGGACUAAACAAGUUCACACACGCACCAGGAGGGAUCUGAAGCCCACGCGACACAGACACCUCAACCGAAUGUAAAACAAACACACUCGAUUUCACUCUUCAAAAAGAUGUUCUCCACCUUCAAAGCCUUACGACGAAAGCAGAGCGGAGCGCUCCAAAACACAGGCAACAAACAACUCGUUUAUACAUUCUCCUAAUUCCUCUCCGACGGGCCUCAAUGUCUUUCUUCAGCAACAGACUGUUGGGGAUCACGGCUUCAACGUUGCGGUUUUAAGACUCCGCCGUCUCCCCUCCCCGCUCCUCCGCUAUCUCUGUGAUAAACGCCGGAGCAAAUUCAAAGCCAAACAAACACGGAUUCAAAGAAAGAUUUUCGUGGCAACUUAAGGAAAGCGUGCGUUCCUGACAACGUGUCGCCGGGGAGUUUGUUCAGUCGGUGCUCGCUCAGAUAGACCCUGGCUGUUCAUCCUGAGCAGGGAAGUGCAUUUGCUUGAUUAUCAUUAAAAAAAGAGAGAUGAUGUCUUCAGAAGUCAGCGGGGAUAUUUAUCAGACUCGCAGUUGGAGACGUGAUGGCGUGUCUCUUCUAAUAGAACAGCCUCAAGGCUCUGGGCCUGUGUGCGCAGGUUAUGAUCCCAUGAGAAGUGAAUAAGUAAAGCGCUGACUGAUCACAUGUAUUUACUUCAUGCUUGCCUUUUGUCCUGUAAUGAAUAUCAAUGAAUGAAAAGGCAAAUGCGGAUGAAUAACUUAUGCUAUUAGAUGGCAUACUUAUUCAAAUGAACAUUACCGCAGCAUAAAGUAGUGUAGACUAUAUGACACAACAGAUUAAGGCUUUU